UUAGAUGGCGACUCUGCAUUAAACGUAUUUAUUUAAUUAAUCGGCGAUCCUAUUUCACCAGAGGACUAAGAUAAAACAACUCGAUUUAAAAUAUGAGCAGUUUUAGUGGAUCUGACGUUGAGGGAAAAAGUAUUUCGCUUUUUGUUUGGAGAUGAACGAGACAACACGAGGGUAAGUGAUGACAGAUUUUCACAUUUCUUUAUUUAGUUAACUAUUAAAUAAGUAAAACAUUACAUUACAUUUAACCCAGCUUCUUUAUGUAACGUUAUGUCUGUGUUGCGUGUGGUAAUUGGAACAUCUUUAUUUUCUGACUAACGUUAGGCAUUUCUCUUAAGCAUUUCAGAAAUCAUUAAAACCUUUCAUUUUUUUUAGCACAGCGAUAUAAAUAUGACCAACCAGAUCCCAAGUAGACAGGAACAAAUGAAGAUAUAGCGCAUAGAAAGACUUAUUCUUGGUGAUCAACUGCUAUUGACAUUUUUGAAUCGGGGCAAAUGUGGAGUGAAGAAAAACGUUUGCAACACAUCCAUCCCAGAGUGCUCUGACAGAUAAAACUGACACGCUUGAUGAGGACACAGUCAAGCUUUAAAAGACCGUGUGAUAAAGCAGUCUUCAAUUACUACGGUGUCUGAAUUGCAAGAAGAAGUGACCCUCCACUUAAACAUGUGACAUCUAAACUGUUUUGUGUUUUAGUUCAGCUUUUUAUAGGUUUAUCUUAAGUUGGUUAAAGGCAGAGUGCACUAUUUUUGAAAGCCAAUGUUAACAUUUGAAAUUACCUAAACAAACAUGCCUCUACCCCAAUAGAAUCUGGACCUUCUUUUGAUAGAGCCACCACACACAUACGCAACCCCGGCAAGGAUGUCAGUUAGUAGACACGCCCCUUACUGCUGGUUGGCUACAAGUGUGUUUUGGUAGUCGGCCCAAUUUCCUUUUCCAAAGCGUUUUUCAAACAUUGUGCACUCCGUCUUUAAAUUGCACUUAAAAACAUUUUUUUUCAUU